ACGGGAGGCAGCAGUGGGGAAUAUUGGGCAAUGGGCGAAAGCCUGACCCAGCGACGCCGCGUGAGGGAAGAAGGUCUUCGGAUUGUAAACCUCUUUCAGCAAGGAAGAAGAAAGUGACGGUACUUGCAGAAGAAGCCACGGCUAACUACGUGCCAGCAGCCGCGGUAAUACGUAGGUGGCGAGCGUUAUCCGGAUUUACUGGGUGUAAAGGGCGCGUAGGCGGGGAUGCAAGUCAGAUGUGAAAUCUAUGGGCUUAACCCAUAAACUGCAUUUGAAACUGUAUUUCUUGAGUGCUGGAGAGGUAGAUGGAAUUCCUUGUGUAGCGGUGAAAUGCGUAGAUAUAAGGAAGAACACCAGUGGCGAAGGCGAUCUACUGGACAGUAACUGACGCUGAGGCGCGAAAGCGUGGGGAGCAAACAGGAUUAGAUACCCUGGUA
rnacentral:rRNA from 1 species